CCAGCUGCCCCCCCCAACUUCUUGGAGCCCCUCGGAGCCCCCCCCGGCCCAGUGACCCCUCUGCACCUCUGCACCCCCAGCCCCUGCUCAUGGGAUGAUGGAUGUUAUGGCAGCAGCCCCCUCCCACUUCCAUGGCAGCCUAUGGAGGGUCCCCCCGUGGCCCUUCUGCCCCCCUUCCCCCACCCCACAUCUAUGAGCAUGGUGGGCAAUGGGGGGCUGCAGCUCGGGGGUCCUGGGCCAUGCACUGCAGGAGGAGCGUGCAUGGGUUCACGUUGAUCUGAAGACGCUGCACCAACAAGUCACUGCCCUGGAUGGUCCCACGCUUUGUUGUUUGCUCUGAAUUAAAAGGUUUUGGGGGUUUUGUUGA